GACGAAGGCUGGCGGCGUGCUUAACACAUGCAAGUCGAACGGAAAGGCCCUGCUUUUGUGGGGUGCUCGAGUGGCGAACGGGUGAGUAACACGUGAGUAACCUGCCCUUGACUUUGGGAUAACUUCAGGAAACUGGGGCUAAUACCGGAUAGGAGCUCCUGCUGCAUGGUGGGGGUUGGAAAGUUUCGGCGGUUGGGGAUGGACUCGCGGCUUAUCAGCUUGUUGGUGGGGUAGUGGCUUACCAAGGCUUUGACGGGUAGCCGGCCUGAGAGGGUGACCGGCCACAUUGGGACUGAGAUACGGCCCAGACUCCUACGGGAGGCAGCAGUGGGGAAUAUUGCACAAUGGGCGGAAGCCUGAUGCAGCAACGCCGCGUGCGGGAUGACGGCCUUCGGGUUGUAAACCGCUUUCGCCUGUGACGAAGCGUGAGUGACGGUAAUGGGUAAAGAAGCACCGGCUAACUACGU
rnacentral:rRNA from 1 species